UGCUACCUACGGGAGGCAGCAGUGGGGAAUAUUGGACAAUGGGGGAAACCCUGAUCCAGCGACGCCGCGUGAGUGAAGAAGUAUUUCGGUACGUAAAGCUCUAUCAGCAGGAAAGAAAAUGACGGUACCUGACUAAGAAGCCCCGGCUAACUACGUGCCAGCAGCCGCGGUAAUACGUAGGGGGCAAGCGUUAUCCGGAUUUACUGGGCGUAAAGGGAGCGUAGACGGCAACGCAAGU
rnacentral:rRNA from 1 species